AUGGACUUCAGGCUCUUCUGUGUGGCCUUGAGUCUCCUGUGUGCAAAACACAUGGAGGCUUCAGUCACCCAAGACCCAAGAAGCAAAGUGGCAGUAACAGGAGGAAAGGUGACACUGAGCUGUCACCAGACUUACAACUACAACUAUAUGUACUGGUAUCGGCAGGACCUGGGUCAUGGACUGAGGCUGAUCCAUUACUCAUAUGGUGCUGGUAGCACUGAGAAAGGAGAUGUCCCUGAUGGGUACAAGGCCACCAGACCAAGUCAAGAGAACUUCUCCCUUGUACUGGAGAUGGCUUCCCCCUCUCAGACAGCUGUGUACUUCUGUGCCAGCAGCGAUGCACAGCAAUGUGUGGCUGUCUCCUCUCUGCACAUAAAGUAA